UGGGGCGUCGCCAAGCGGUAAGGCAGCGGAUUUUGAUUCCGCCAUUCGGAGGUUCGAUCCCUCCCGCCCCAUCCA
rnacentral:tRNA from 1 species